rnacentral:lncRNA from 1 species
GCAUUAUGAACUGGGGGGGAGAAAAUCACUACUGGUUGCUUUGCUUGCAGUUCGCAUUUGGACUUGUGCUUGCAGAAAUUGAGCUGAACUUCCUUCAGUGUUACUGCAUCUGUGAGGAUUAACAAUGAUGUGGCUCUCUUACAUCAAGAAGUGAGAAAAUUUUGGAGGUAAAGUAAAGGGGAAAUAAAGUAGAAAUGAUUCUUAAGUCA